AGUAUGCCCCGAAUAUCCCGGGCUACACGCGAGCUACAAUGGUUGGUACCAAGUGGGGUAUCUACCCCCGAAAGGGGAACGGGAAUCUCCUAAAACCAAUUUUAGUUCGGAUUGAGGGCUGCAAUUCGCCCUCAUGAAGCUGGAAUCCGUAGUAAUCGCGUUUCAACAGAACGCGGUGAAUACGUCCCUGCCGUCCUU
rnacentral:rRNA from 1 species